ensembl:snoRNA SNORA70 Small nucleolar RNA SNORA70
CUGCAGUGGAUGAAAUAGACUGAGUUCCCUUGCUCAUGGGUGCCUAGCGUGCAGUGGCUGUGAACAGCAGCCUCCUUGGUAGUGUACACAGCCUCUUGCUGGUGUGGGUUGCCUAGGGGACCUUGGGGAUACUA